UGAAGGAUAAGUAGGAGUUCUCCGGGGAGAGGAGGUGGAAGAACAGGCUGGGAGGGAACAGCCUGUUCAGAACCUCUGACGCGAGAGCGUCCUGGCUCCCUCGGCAACUGUGUGAUUAUGAUGUAUUAAUGGACAGUACAGUCUAUUAGGAGGGUGCAGUGGGGUGCGGGGAAAGCCAACAAGAUAGGGCUGGGUUACUGAGCCGGGCUGAAGAUGGAGGGUCUGGCGGGCCCGUGAAGCUGGCAGCCUGAGGUCCUCAUACCAACCUACUACGGCAGAGACCAAAAUAUUGACUUAAGAACUUCCCAAGUUAGCCGCUGCUGCUGCUAACCCAAAAUGGCUGCCACACGAUACAAAAAGGCGGCAGACCCCGGCGAUGGUCUCAAGCUGGCAAGCGAUGAACCUUUGGCAAAUGCCAAGGGUACUUACUAUUCUCAGUGAUCCACCCUGCUCCCACCUCAGGCUACCAUCACGGGGACACUGGCUUCAGAACUGCUUUGAGUCAUAAGGAAGGGUUGUGCCGCUGCCUCUGCUACUCUCAUUAUUGUAGGGUUUCAGACGCUGGAGUCACCAACGGAAGCAAAUUCUGGAGGCUGGGAAGUCAAGAUCAAGACCUGCUCUCUGUUUCCCUGCUGAAUCUUUACCCACCUCAUGGCGGAAGGGUACAGAAAGGAACAACUUGGGGAAACAUGUUCUGACCACAGUGAGGACCUAUAUCUUUAUACAGCAUCUAAACAGCACCUUCCCUGAGCUCCUGCAGCCGCUAUAAAAGCUAUCAAGCCUGGUGACUGUGGACUUCUAUCCCUGGGACCCACGUGGUGGAAGGCGGGAACAAUUUCUGAAAGUUGUCUUUUAAACUCCGGGUGUGCCCUGUGGUACGCACACAUGCUCAUGCCCUCAAACAAGAGUGGCAGAUUCAAAUUAAUUUCAAACUCUAAACUGUGAGGUCCCGUGGCACUUCAGACCUUUCUAAAGAGCACAACGUGAUUUUGGAAAAGAAAAUGAUGCCCUAAAUUGCCCAUAAAACAGAGAGUUCAGAGCUGACAUUUGUUAAAGGAUUACUAUGUG